rnacentral:rRNA from 1 species
CGUAGAGUUGAUCCUGGCGUCAGGAUGAACGCUGCGCGUGCUUAACACAUGCAAGUCGAACGAGAACCAAUGGGAAUGAGGAUUCGUCCAAAGGAAGUUGGGGAAAGUGGCGGACGGGUGAGUAACGCGUGAGCAAUCUGCCUUGGAGUGGGGAAUAACGGUUGGAAACAGCCGCUAAUACCGCAUGAUACAGCUAUCCCGCAUGGGUUGGCUGUCAAAGAUUUAUCGCUCUGAGAUGAGCUCGCGUCUGAUUAGCUUGUUGCGGGGUAACGGCCCACCAAGGCGACGAUCAGUAGCCGGACUGAGAGGUUGGCCGGCCACAUUGGGACUGAGACACGGCCCAGACUCCUACGGGAGGCAGCAGUGGGGAAUAUUGGGCAAUGGGCGCAAGCCUGACCCAGCAACGCCGCGUGAAGGAAGAAGGCUUUCGGGUUGUGAACUUCUUUUCUCAGGGACGAAGAAAGUGACGGUACCUGAGGAAUAAGCCACGGCUAACUACGUG